GAUGACAUCAGAGUGUGAGGAGGGAAGGCAGCCCACACAAACAGAAACUGAGCUCCUGGCUGCUCCAGGCCUGGCUGGGAGACCUCAAGCUAAAGCUUUUCCUUCCACAUGUUCCUGACCUCAACAGCCCCCUGCUAACAGUGCACACACUGCACACAUGCCUGACUGACACAAUGGCCCCUCUAUGUGACCUCUCCAGCAGGUCUUGCAGACAAGAUUUGCACAUGUCCAAAAUGAGGCACAAAAACGCAGAUUGCAUUCAGAUAAAACCUUUCUUUCAACGCUUCAGUAUUCCGGAUGAGCUGCACCCUCAGGAAGUCUUAAUGGAAGCCAGGCAUUCCCAAUCAAUGUUUUUGGGUUCGUGUGAGGAAACACAGUCCAGGAAUUGAAGCAUGGCUGCUUUGACUGACAGGAUGGCAUUGACCUGAGCUCGUAUCAACAAAUUCCAGUAGGAAUCCUCAGUUUUGACUUAGAAAAUCCACAACUAAAUCCUGACUGUGCAUCAUUUUGAUGGGAAUUCAGUGAUGGAACUGGACAACCUGCUCAGGCCUUCUGUCUUAACCUUGGAAAAGUUGACUCGUAUUUUUAAAAGGUGUGAAAAAAAAAACAUUGGCAAACUUGUUUUAAACUUGUCUCUUUCCUUGUUUGUAUUUUAAAAUGAAAAGUUAAGAAGAAACAUUUGUUUUUCUUUUUUGCUUUUGUAUAUAAUUCAAAGUAAGAAAAAGUUAAGUGGAGUAAUUUACUUAAAACAAUAUACUUAAAAACUUUAGUCUAUUGAACUGAUAAUUGUUAGAACUUAAAGUGUUAAUUUAUGCUCACUCACGUGUAUCAAAUAAACAUUGCUUAUUUUUUUGGGGUGUACCAGUUUGCUCCAAUUUUUUUAUUUAUCCGCGCUUAGAGUGUGUGCAUAAAAAUUAAAUAAGUUGUUUUACUUCACUUCCUCGUCUUGCUUGUUUCAUCGUUGCUUUGACGUUUUUACUUUAAUAAAACAUCUGUUUAAUUCGC